GACGAACGCUGGCGGCGUGCUUAACACAUGCAAGUCGAGCGGUAAGGCCUUUCGGGGUACACGAGCGGCGAACGGGUGAGUAACACGUGGGUGACCUGCCUUUAGCUUCGGGAUAAGCCUGGGAAACCGGGUCUAAUACCGGAUAUGACUCCAUGACGCAUGUUGUGGGGUGGAAAGCCUUGUGCGGCUGAGGAUGGGCCCGCGGCCUAUCAGCUUGUUGGUGGGGUGAUGGCCUACCAAGGCGACGACGGGUAGCCGGCCUGAGAGGGCGACCGGCCACACUGGGACUGAGACACGGCCCAGACUCCUACGGGAGGCAGCAGUGGGGAAUCUUGCGCAAUGGGCGAAAGCCUGACGCAGCGACGCCGCGUGAGGGAUGACGGCCUC
rnacentral:rRNA from 1 species